UACGGAGGGUGCAAGCGUUAGUCGGAAUUACUGGGCGUAAAGGGCGCGUAGGCGGGAAUGUAAGUCAGAUGUGAAAUACCGAAGCUCAACUUCGGCUGUGCAUCUGAAACUGUGUUUCUAGAGGAAAAGUGGAGAAAACGGAAUUCCAUGUGUAGCGGUGAAAUGCGUAGAUAUGUGGAAGAACACCUGUGGCGAAAGCGGUUUUCUAACUUACUCCUGACGCUGAGGCGCGAAAGCAAGGGGAGCAAACGGG
rnacentral:rRNA from 1 species